GUGCUCACUUCUGCAGUAUGUAUACUAAAAUUGGAGUCAUGGAGAGAAGAUUAGAAUGGCUCCUGUACAAGGAUGACACAAAUUGAUGAAGCAUUCUAUAUUUUU
ensembl:snRNA Gm26076 U6 spliceosomal RNA